rnacentral:rRNA from 1 species
GUUGACCUCGGAUCAGGUAGGGAUACCCGCUGAACUUAAGCAUAUCAAUAAGCGGAGGAAAAGAAACCAACAGGGAUUGCCCCAGUAACGGCGAGUGAAGCGGCAAGAGCUCAAAUUUGAAAGCUGGCUCCUUCGGGGUCCGCAUUGUAAUUUGUAGAGGAUGCUUCGGGAGCGGUCCCCAUCUAAGUGCCCUGGAACGGGACGUCAUAGAGGGUGAGAAUCCCGUAUGGGAUGGGGUGUCCGCGCCCGUGUGAAGCUCCUUCGACGAGUCGAGUUGUUUGGGAAUGCAGCUCUAAAUGGGUGGUAAAUUUCAUCUAAAGCUAAAUAUUGGCCGGAGACCGAUAGCGCACAAGUAGAGUGAUCGAAAGAUGAAAAGCACUUUGAAAAGAGAGUUAAAAAGCACGUGAAAUUGUUGAAAGGGAAGCGCUUGCGACCAGACUCGCUCGCGGGGUUCAGCCGGCAUUCGUGCCGGUGUACUUCCCCGCGGGCGGGCCAGCGUCGGUUUGGGCGGUCGGUCAAAGGCCCUCGGAAGGUAACGCCCCUAGGGGCGUCUUAUAGCCGAGGGUGCAAUGCGACCUGCCUAGACCGAGGAACGCGCUUCGGCUCGGACGCUGGCAUAAUGGUCGUAAACGACC